UACGUAGGUGGCGAGCGUUGUCCGGAUUUACUGGGCGUAAAGAGCUCGUAGGCGGUUUGUCGCGUCUGCUGUGAAAACUCGGGGCUUAACCCCGGGCCUGCAGUGGGUACGGGCAGACUAGAGUGCGGUAGGGGAGACUGGAAUUCCUGGUGUAGCGGUGAAAUGCGCAGAUAUCAGGAGGAACACCGGUGGCGAAGGCGGGUCUCUGGGCCGAUACUGACGCUGAGGAGCGAAAGCGUGGGGAGCGAACAGG
rnacentral:rRNA from 1 species